GAUGAACGCUGGCGGCGUGCUUAACACAUGCAAGUCGAACGGAAAGGCCCAAGCUUGCUUGGGUACUCGAGUGGCGAACGGGUGAGUAACACGUGGGUGAUCUGCCCUGCACUUCGGGAUAAGCCUGGGAAACUGGGUCUAAUACCGGAUAGGACGAUGGUUUGGAUGCCAUUGUGGAAAGUUUUUUCGGUGUGGGAUGAGCUCGCGGCCUAUCAGCUUGUUGGUGGGGUAAUGGCCUACCAAGGCGUCGACGGGUAGCCGGCCUGAGAGGGUGUACGGCCACAUUGGGGCUGAGAUACGGCCCAGACUCCUACGGGAGGCAGCAGUGGGGAAGAUUGCACAAUGGGCGCAGCCUGAUGCAGCGAGGCCGCGUGGGGGAUGACGGCCUUCGGGUUGUAAACUCCUUUCGCUAGGGACGAAGCGUUUUUGUGACGGUACCUGGAGAAGAAGCACCGGCUAACUACGUG
rnacentral:rRNA from 1 species